rnacentral:lncRNA from 1 species
GCAUCCUUCAUUUUUUAUCUAUUUCCUCCACUCCAACUUCUGCGAGAUCUGGCAUCACUCCAUGUGCCUCGCAUGCCAAUCCGCUGCAUGAUGGCUUAUCCUCUGGAUUGGCCAAGUGUCUUCUUCCAUCGCGUUUGAUGGAUCCAAAGCAUAAGGUAGUUUUUAAGAAUACUUAAAUGUAGGUCUCUCUCUCUCUGUUUUUUUUUUUUGGAAGUAUAAAGGUGGCAAGGUGCCACCUGAAUCCUUGGCACC